GACGAGCGGCGGACGGCUGAGUAAUGCUUGGGAACAUGCCUUGAGGUGGGGGACAACAGUUGGAAACGACUGCUAAUACCGCAUAAUGUCUACGGACCAAAGGGGGCUUCGGCUCUCGCCUUUAGAUUGGCCCAAGUGGGAUUAGCUAGUUGGUGAGGUAAUGGCUCACCAAGGCGACGAUCCCUAGCUGGUUUGAGAGGAUGAUCAGCCACACUGGGACUGAGACACGGCCCAGACUCCUACGGGAGGCAGCAGUGGGGAAUAUUGCACAAUGGGCGCAAGCCUGAUGCAGCCAUGCCGCGUGUGUGAUGGAUGAAGUGCGGGUUGUAAAGCACUUUCAGUCAGGAGGAAAGGUUAGUAGUUAAUAC
rnacentral:rRNA from 1 species